rnacentral:lncRNA from 1 species
AUGGCUCCCGCAAAGAAGGGUGGCGAGAAGAAGAAGGGCCGUUCUGCCAUCAACGAGGUGGUGACCCGAGAAUACACCAUCAACAUUCACAAGCGCAUCCAUGGAGUGGGCUUCAAGAAGCGUGCUCCUCGGGCGCUCAAAGAAAUUCGGAAGUUUGCCAUGAAGGAAAUGGGAACACCAGAUGUGCGCAUUGACACCAGGCUCAAAAAGCCGUCUGGGCCAAGGGAAUAAGGAACGUUCCAUAUCGCAUCCGAGUACGCUUGUCCAGAAAACGUAAUGAGGAUGAGGAUUCCCCAAACAAGCUCUACACGCUGGUAACUUACAUGCCUGUUACCACAUUCAAAAAUCUACAGACGGUCAAUGUGGAUGAGAACUAA